UACGGGGGGAGCAAGCGUUGUUCGGAUUUACUGGGCGUAAAGGGCUCGUAGGCGGCCAACUAAGUCAGACGUGAAAUCCCUCGGCUUAACCGGGGAACUGCAUCUGAUACUGGCAGGCUUGAAUCCGGGAGAGGGAUGUGGAAUUCCAGGUGUAGCGGUGAAAUGCGUAGAUAUCUGGAGGAACACCGGUGGCGAAGGCGGCAUCCUGGACCGGUAUUGACGCUGAGGCGCGAAAGCGUGGGGAGCGAACAGG
rnacentral:rRNA from 1 species